rnacentral:rRNA from 1 species
CCUACGGGAGGCAGCAGUGGGGAAUAUUGCUCAAUGGGGGGAACCCUGAAGCAGCAACGCCGCGUGGGGGAUGAAGGUCUUCGGAGUGUAAAAUCCUUUUGUUAGGGAAGAUACUGACGGUAUCUGACGAAUAAGCCCCGUCUAACUCCGUGCCAGCAGCCGCGGUAAUACGGAGGGUGCAAGCGUUAUUCGGAUUCACUGGGCGUAAAGAGGGCGUAGGCGGGAUAGCAAGUCAGAUGUGAAAUCCUGUGGCUUAACCAUAGAACUGCAGUGGAAACUGUUAGUCUAGAGUGUGGGAGAGGCAGGUGGAAUUCGUGGUGUAGCGGUGAAAUGCGUAGAGAUCAAGAGGAAUACUGAUUGCGAAGGCGGCCUGCGAGAGCGUAACUGACGCUGAUGCGCGAAAGCGUGGGGAGCAAACAGGAUUAGAUACCCGGGUAGUC